GGCUCGUUGGUGUAGUUGGUUAUCACGUCAGUCUAACAUAACAUCCUCACGGAUGCUUGCGUUUGUACACUGAAGGUCCGGAGUUCAAACCUCCGAUGAGUCA
rnacentral:tRNA from 2 species